AAAGCAGGUCUGCAAUUGCAGCACUCCAUUGCCGUAGAGUGUUGCCAUUAAUCCUGCUGAGAGCAUCUUUCUGCUACAGUGCAUAUUCCUGCUCACUGUGGUGGUGAUGAGGAAGCUCUGUAGCUGAACAUUA
ensembl:snoRNA